AGGAAAUUUGAGAGGAGCUGUCCUUAGUACGAGAGGACCGGGAUGGACAUACCUCUGGUGUACCAGUUGUCGUGCCAACGGCAUAGCUGGGUAGCUAUGUAUGGACGGGAUAAGUGCUGAAAGCAUCUAAGCAUGAAGCCCCCCUCAAGAUGAGAUUUCCCAACUUCGGUUAUAAGAUCCCUCGAAGAUGACGAGGUUAAUAGGUUCGAGGUGGAAGCGUGGUGACACGUGUAGCUGACGAAUACUAAUCGAUCGAAGACUUAAUCAA
rnacentral:rRNA from 1 species